AACAAGCGGCUCUUCUUGAUGCCCCGCUCGGUAACAAUUGCCGAGAGAGCACCCGAUUCGAGGAGUGACUUGUCUGCGCUCUCCGGCUUCACGACGCUAUUUCUCCGGCCGGGCUCUUCCAAUUCUACGGUAUUCCCUUGUG
ensembl:ncRNA F28F9.15 ncRNA